rnacentral:rRNA from 4 species
UCCGUAGGUGAACCUGCGGAGGGAUCAU